rnacentral:rRNA from 1 species
GAUGAACGCUGGCGGCGUGCCUAAUACAUGCAAGUCGAGCGAACAGACGAGGAGCUUGCUCCUCUGACGUUAGCGGCGGACGGGUGAGUAACACGUGGAUAACCUACCUAUAAGACUGGGAUAACUUCGGGAAACCGGAGCUAAUACCGGAUAAUAUAUUGAACCGCAUGGUUCAAUAGUGAAAGACGGUUUUGCUGUCACUUCUAGAUGGAUCCGCGCCGCAUUAGCUAGUUGGUAAGGUAACGGCUUACCAAGGCAACGAUGCGUAGCCGACCUGAGAGGGUGAUCGGCCACACUGGAGCUGAAACACGGUCCAGACUCCUACGGGAGGCAGCAGUAGGGAAUCUUCCGCAAUGGGCGAAAGCCUGACGGAGCAACGCCGCGUGAGUGAUGAAGGUCUUCGGAUCGUAAAACUCUGUUAUUAGGGAAGAACAAAUGUGUAAGUAACUAUGCACGUCUUGACGGUACCUAAUCAGAAAGCCACGGCUAACUACGUG